CCUACGGGUGGCAGCAGUGAGGAAUAUUGGUCAAUGGACGAGAGUCUGAACCAGCCAAGUAGCGUGAAGGAUGACUGCCCUAUGGGUUGUAAACUUCUUUUAUAUGGGAAUAAAAUGUUCCACGUGUGGGGUUUUGUAUGUACCAUAUGAAUAAGGAUCGGAUAACUCCGUGCCAGCAGCCGCGGUAAUACGGAGGAUCCGAGCGUUACCCGGAUUUAUUGGGCUUAAAGGGAGCGCAGGUGGAUUGUUAAGGCAGUUGUGAAAGUUUGCGGCUCAACCGUAAAAUUGCAGAUGAAACUGGCAGUCUUGAGUACAGUAGAGGUGGGCGGAAUUCGUGGUGUAGCAGUGAAAUGCUUAGAUAUCACGAAGAACUCCGAUUGCGAAGGCAGUUCACUGGACUGCAACUGACACUGAUGCUCGAAAGUGUGGGUAUCAAACAGGAUUAGAUACCCGAGUAGUC
rnacentral:rRNA from 1 species